CCUACGGGGGGCAGCAGUGGGGAAUAUUGCACAAUGGGGGAAACCCUGAUGCAGCGACGCCGCGUGAGUGAAGAAGUAAUUCGUUAUGUAAAGCUCUAUCAGCAGGGAAGAAAAGGACGGUACCUGAGGAAGAAGCUCCGGCGAACUACGUGCCAGCAGCCGCGGUAAUACGUCGGGGGCAAGCGUUAUCCGGAUUUACUGGGUGUAACGGGAGCGUAGACGGCAGUGCCGGUCGGGAGUGACCGGCGGGGGCUCCACCCCCGGACUGCUCUGGAAACUGUACGGCUGGAGUGCAGGAGAGGUCAGUGGCAUUCCUCGUGUCGCGGUGAUAUGCGUAGCUAUUAGGAGGAACCCCAGUGGCGCAGGCGGCUUACUGGACUGUACCUGACGUUGAGGCUCGACCGCGUGGGGAGCAAACCGGAUUAGAUACCCGUGUAGUC
rnacentral:rRNA from 1 species